AGUGAACGCUGGCGGUAGGCCUAACACAUGCAAGUCGAACGGCAGCACAGUAAGAGCUUGCUCUUACGGGUGGCGAGUGGCGGACGGGUGAGGAAUACAUCGGAAUCUACUUUUUCGUGGGGGGUAACGUAGGGAAACUUACGCUAAUACCGCAUACGACCUACGGGUGAAAGCAGGGGAUCUUCGGACCUUGCGCGAUUGAAUGAGCCGAUGUCGGAUUAGCUAGUUGGCGGGGUAAAGGCCCACCAAGGCGACGAUCCGUAGCUGGUCUGAGAGGAUGAUCAGCCACACUGGAACUGAGACACGGUCCAGACUCCUACGGGAGGCAGCAGUGGGGAAUAUUGGACAAUGGGCGCAAGCCUGAUCCAGCCAUACCGCGUGGGUGAAGAAGGCCUUCGGGUUGUAAAGCCCUUUUGUUGGGAAAGAAAAGCAGCAGGUUAAUACCCCGCUGUCCUGACGGUACCCAAAGAAUAAGCACCGGCUAACUUCGUG
rnacentral:rRNA from 1 species